rnacentral:piRNA from 1 species
UGGGAAGUGCCUCCUGCACAGUCAGGUAAC